UUCAGUUUCCCGGAGUCUGAAGGAGAUGCUCUUCUAAUAGAGGUUCAAGAUAAGAAGAAAUCAGUGCAAGGAAAAGCAAUAAUUCCUGUUUCAUCCUUGACUGACAAUCUGAAUGAAAAUGUUAGUUGGUGGCCAAUAAGCCACGGUGAACAAGAAUGUGUGGGGAAGAUUCAACUCUUUAUCGGCAACACAGCCGCAUCUGAUGAUGAUCAUCAUAUAAAGAGUGCACCAGUUGUGGAAACUCUAGCAUAUGAUUUGCUUCUCGAUGCUGCUAUCCGUGCCCAAAACUUUCAUUCUCGAAACAUGAGGUUGAACGGAC